GCGGACAUAGCUCAAUUGGCAGAGUACAAGCUUCCCAAGCUUGGGGUUGCGGGUUCGAUUCCCGUUGUCCGCUCCA
rnacentral:tRNA from 1 species